GACGAACGCUGGCGGCGUGCUUAACACAUGCAAGUCGAGCGGUAAGGCCCUUUCGGGGGUACACGAGCGGCGGACGGGUGAGUAACGCUUGGGAAUCUGCCUAUUAGUGGGGGACAACCCGGGGAAACUCGGGCUAAUACCGCAUACGCUCUACGGAGGAAAGCCGGGGACCGCAAGGCCUGGCGUUAAUAGAUGAGCCCAAGUCGGAUUAGCUAGUUGGUAGGGUAAUGGCCUACCAAGGCGACGAUCCGUAACUGGCUGAGAGGACGACCAGUCACACCGGAACUGAGACACGGUCCGGACUCCUACGGGAGGCAGCAGU
rnacentral:rRNA from 1 species